AAGUCAUAACAAGGUUUCUGUAGGUGAACCUGCAGAAGGAUCAUUAAAAAAAUACACCUGGUAAAAGUGUGAAAAUGCUGGAUCUAGUACUAUAUACAACCACCUGUUUACCUUUACCUGUUGCUUCCGUGGAAUUACGGGUGCUCUUCCUAUUCACAGGCUUGAGUUACCUUCCAUGGGUGUAUUUAAAAAAUUGUUUUAUAUUAUUGUCUGAUUUAAAAUUUUAAUAAAAGUUAAAACUUUCAACAAUGGAUCUCUAGGUUCUU
rnacentral:misc_RNA from 1 species